AUUUGAUGAUUACUGAUAGAAUAAUCAAGGGGAAAAGGGUUUUCAUUUUUUGAAAGUGUUCAAAAAAUGGAAGGAAGAUGAUUGCGACAAAUGGUGGUCAUAAUUUAACCGACGAAGAUAUUCCAGCAAAAUUCUUGGACGGGAAAAUUCACUGGGAAUAAUCAUUUUGGAGGUCGGGUUAAUUGGGUUUGUCGAGACGGAAAGUGUUUUUGGCAGGGGAAGGAAGAAGAAUUCGACAGGUACAGUUUCAAGAAAAAUAGUGGGUAGACAAAAAGCAGAACCUGAACAACGAUAUUAGAUUUGAGGAUAAGUUUUACAUCUGGAGUGGUCUCAUUUUCAGGAUUCAUCCGACGGUUUAGAUCCCAUCAUCUAUCAAUCAACGCUGGCUAUCCCAUCAGAAAUUAGUAAAACCCAGCCGCCCGUUUCCCCGUUGAGCUCUGGAGGGCGUGAAGGUCCGUCUGAGUACUCAUUUAUGUGUUUGCCUCUGCCCUAUUCUGGCGCAUGGGCUGCCCAGAGGAGAGAUGGCUUUUGGAAGGACAUCAAGUGUAUCAUACUGUUGAAUAUGCUCUUCCACUUAUCAAAAUUUCGUGAAAAUUAUCCCAUAUCAGCUGAAGUUUCCAUUUGAAGGACGUGAAAACCUCUCUAUAGAAGACGUGACGACGAUACUAAUAAGUUAAAACGAACAAUACUUACUAGCAAUUGGCUUGAGUUGUUACACUGUGUAGAAUCCGAUUGGUCGAAUCAAUAAGAUAUAAGAUAGAGUUGU